rnacentral:rRNA from 1 species
AUGACAAAAUCAGAUUCCCUACACGUGUGUAUCUAUCAAGUCAUCUUACUAGCGGCUGUUCAAUUGACCUUGAUCAUGCAGGAACGUCACUGGAUUCUGGAAUCUGACCGAGAUCCCGCCGGAGCUCUUCAACUCGAUGGAGUUGGUCUCUCUAACUCCGCGUCCUACUUCUCGAUGGACGCUGCAUCCUUCCCCAGCAGGCUGCCAAUGGCUGCGUGCCUGCGCCCUGCUGCUUCUGCGCCGGUGCCGGCCACCACGCCCAAUCGCCACGGCCAGCGGCAGCAGUCUCCUCGGCGGACGGCAGUGUGCAAGUGUGCACCCUGGCACUGGGGACUAGAGACGUGCAACAUAGAAGGCCAGCAGCUAAGAGCUGAGCAGCUAUACACAGAGCCGGAGGUAAGAUUGAGGUGGACCAGAUUGCUAAUUUCUACCUAG